rnacentral:lncRNA from 1 species
CUGGACGCCCGGAACGGCCGACCGGGAGUCGCGGCUGGGGAUGGAGCGGAGAGAGGAGGCCCCGCGCGCCGUCGGCCGCCUCAUUUCAGACUCCCCUGCGACCCCCCCCCCGCCGCCAGCCGAAGGCCGGGCCGCCCAGCCCCUCCUGCCGUUGCGGGACGCCGAAGGCUCCAGAGCUUGAGAGAAAGUGCGAACCCGGUCCCUGAGCAGGUCUGAUUCCCAUGGCCCCUUCUCCAUCUGCUCUGCACCGAAAUUGGAUUCUCCUACUUAGAGGAGAAGGUGGAGAAGAUUCUCCGUCUUCCGGAGGGUAGCUACUGCCGGUAGCUCCGAUUUCCUUCGGAUCCCCUUUCAAGGGCAAGCAGAAGGAAAUCAGUUUCUCCAAAGAAAGUGGCCCGGCUGAGUAAGUGGGAACAAGGUGGUUGGACUGAGGCACGGGAUCCUUUAGCUCCGUUGCUCUUCUAAUCCCGUGGCCCUGGGCACCGCCACUUCCUCCUCUGAACUGCUGAAAUAAUCACUUCUGACUAGUAGAGUUACUGGGAGCCGCUGUUUGUCGGUGUUCACAUUCUGACUUUAGCAGGAGAUGGAGCGAGCGAAGGAGUGAAGCCCUUGUUUGUGAACAGUGAUUGUUUCCCGGAUGACAGCCAGAUGCCGGGCAGGGCCACGCAGAUCUUAGCUGGAGCCUACAGGUACAAGUGAGAGCCACCCCCUUUGACGUAACUGGACUGGCAUUUACAGAACUCAUGUACAACCCACUCUCAGGAACACCAGCCAGGAACCGUGACAUGGAGGAGAGGAAUUGGGAGGAACCGAGGGGUCAUCAAAGGCUGGUAGGGCUUAGGUGCUCUGGCAAACAUCCUAGUCUGUGGGGUUCCAGAGCUCUGGUGCUACAGCUCCCAACCCUUUGAUUGGCCCAGGAACUGGCUGUUGAGUGGGCAUCCGUGUUCAUAGCUCUGCCCCUUGCAACCCUAAAGCAGAUAAAAUGCAGGAGGCAGAAAUUGCUGGCAGACAGCAUCCAGUUAAUCCCCACUACCCAAUUCAGUUUCUUCCCCUGACCUGACACGUCCCUGCCCAGCUGUGCCUCCCACUGUUCACCUUUUGAGGCACAAAACGGGCUGUUUAUGCUGCUGCUACAUUUAGCUCAAAACAGGGCUUCAGAGUCAAGGUUCUGGACUCAGGCACCCGGAUUAAAUACUGCCCCAUGAAUUCCUAGCCAGGUGACCUCAGGCCUACAUAACCUUUCUGUACCUCAGUUUCCUCACCCAGAAAACAGGGAUGAUGCUGUCUACCUCAUUGGAUGGUUGUGCAGGAUCAAAGAUUCAGUCAUUCAGCAAACCUAUACCGAGUACCUACUGUACAUUCAUGAGUGCUAGGCAGCCAGCCUUCCAGGUGCUCAGGUACAUCUGUGAACACAACUGGCUAUUUGAGGAAGCAAAAUCAGUAACAUGACCUGCUCUCUUUGAUCUGUGCUACAGAAAAAAAGGAAAGUGGAGAGGCAUCAGGAAGUCAGGAGUGCUGGGGAGGGGCUGGUAACGGUCAUGGUAUUAAAGAGGAGGGCAGGCAGGCCUUACUGUGAAGGUGGUAUUUGAGAUGAAGUAGUUGGUCAGAAUCCCCGUUUGACACAUGGAGACCACCUUGACAGCAAAGGCCCUAAGGGGGAGCAAUGCAAAGCAAGGUGGGCUGGUGAAUGAGAGGAGAGGGAUGGUAUAGAGCUGGGUGGGGGCACAGGAGCCCGUGGGGAAGGUGUUCGCCUCUGGAUGAAGUGGGGUUGUAUCAGAUACCACGGGUGAAGCAUCGGGAAGAGGAUCCUGCCUGUAAAUCCUGCUCAAGGACUGCACCAUCAUCAUGCCCAGUGUGUGCGUGUAUUAGGUUUGUAUGAAUAUAAUGUUGCCAAUUGUAUCUGUUUUUAUGAAAUGUUUGCUAUGUGCCAAUGAUUAUUCGAUCCAUGGGGAGACCAUAGAAGAAUGAUCCAAGGAGUUGGGAGGGGAAUCAAAUAAUAAAUCAGUGAUUCUGCAAUAUAACGCCAUUGGUGAUCGGUGUCAUGAAAGAAAUACAACAUGGUGGGGAAGAC